GCGCGCGUAGGCGGCUAAUUAAGUCAAAUGUGAAAUCCCCGAGCUUAACUUGGGAAUUGCAUUCGAUACUGGGUAGCUAGAGUGUGGGAGAGGAUGGUAGAAUUCCAGGUGUAGCGGUGAAAUGCGUAGAGAUCUGGAGGAAUACCGAUGGCGAAGGCAGCCAUCUGGCCUAACACUGACGCUGAGGUGCGAAAGCAUGGGGAGCAAACAGGAUUAGAUACCCUGGUAGUCCAUGCCGUAAACGAUGUCUACUAGCCGUUGGGGCCUUUGAGGCUUUAGUGGCGCAGCUAACGCGAUAAGUAGACCGCCUGGGGAGUACGGUCGCAAGACUAAAACUCAAAUGAAUUGACGGGGGCCCGCACAAGCGGUGGAGCAUGUGGUUUAAUUCGAUGCAACGCGAAGAACCUUACCUGGCCUUGACAUAGUAAGAACUUUCCAGAGAUGGAUUGGUGCCUUCGGGAACUUACAUACAGGUGCUGCAUGGCUGUCGUCAGCUCGUGUCGUGAGAUGUUGGGUUAAGUCCCGCAACGAGCGCAACCCUUUUCCUUAUUUGCCAGCGAGUAAUGUCGGGAACUUUAAGGAUACUGCCAGUGACAAACUGGAGGAAGGCGGGGACGACGUCAAGUCAUCAUGGCCCUUACGGCCAGGGCUACACACGUGCUACAAUGGUCGGUACAAAGGGUUGCUACCUAGCGAUAGGAUGCUAAUCUCAAAAAGCCGAUCGUAGUCCGGAUUGGAGUCUGCAACUCGACUCCAUGAAGUCGGAAUCGCUAGUAAUCGCGGAUCAGAAUGCCGCGGUGAAUACGUUCCCGGGCCUUGUACACACCGCCCGUCACACCAUGGGAGUUUGUUGCACCAGAAGUAGUAGUCUAACCGCAAGGAGGACGCUUACCACGGUGUGGCCGAUGACUGGGGUGAAGUCGAACAGGG
rnacentral:rRNA from 1 species